GGUAAACGCUGGCGGCGUGCCUAAAACAUGCAAGUCGAACGGACCCUUCGGGGUUAGUGGCGGACGGGUGAGUAACACGUGGGAAUGUGCCUUUAGGUUCGGAACAACACAGGGAAACUUGUGCUAAUACCGAAUGUGCCCUUCGGGGAAGGAUUUAUUGCCUUAGUAGCAGCCCGCCGUCUGAUUAGUCUUGUUGGUGAGGUAAAGGCUCACCAAGGCGACGAUCAGUAGCUGGUCUGA
rnacentral:rRNA from 1 species